UCUGCUCCUCCCCACGGUCUCCUCCUCACGUUCUCUCCUCCCCAUGGUCUCCUCCUCCCCAGAGAAAGGAAAUCAAUCAUAUCUCUCAGAUUGGAGCAAGGAAAUUAGGAAAUUGAUCUGGUGUGCUCACGCCAUGGAAUCUCUCCUCCUCCUCCCAUGGAAAAAACAAACAAAUCUCUCUCAAAUUGGAGCAACCAAGUUGGGGAAUAGAUCAGUUUCGUCAUUUUUUUCCUGAUUUAACAUUUGAAUCGACCUUAUCUUUUCAAUUGCAUUAGGAUUCAUGUUUUCUACUGCGUCCUUUGACAGUCCUAGGAUUCAAUCCUAGGUUUGCUGACGUGCGCUCUUUGCGCACUUCGUGGAGAUCGCGACGGGGCAGAACCAAGCCCAUGCCCUCAAAAUCCCUCAAAAAAGUCUAUCUUCUCCACGUCUCUUACUCUCCCUGUAAAAAAAAAAUCGUGCGCCAUAGUCUCUCCUCCUCCCCACAGUCUCCCCCUCACGUUCUCUCCUCCCCAUGGUCUCCUCCUCCCCAGAGAAAGGAAAUCAAUCAUAUCUCUCAAAUUGGAGCAAGGAAAUUAGGAAUUUGAUCUGCUGCGCUCACGCCAUGGAAUAUCUCCUCCUCCUCCCAUGGAAAAAAACAAACAAAUCUCUCUCAAAUUGGAGCAACCAAGUUGGGGAAUAGAUCAGUCCUAGGAUUCAAUCCUAGGUUUGCUGACGUAUGCUCUUUGGGCACUUCAUGGAGAUCGCGACGGGGCAGAACCAAGCCCAUGCCGCCAUCUUAUAAAUUAACUGCAGCCUGAAACAAACUAUCUACACAUAAAGGAGGCUCCUGUCGGUCGUGAACAUCGUCGCUGGUGAACCUUCUCCUGUUUGAGCCGGGAGACGAGUUCGUGAACGAGGAACCUGUCGAGUACACUUACGAGGAUCAAGCUUUCGACAACUCUGAGAACCUUGCAGGCAAGAUGACCAUCCC